GUCACUUCAGGGACAUCCCAUAAAUUGGAACAGUACAGAAAAGACUAACAUAGCCCCUGAGCAAGGAUGACAUGCACAAAAUAAGAACAAAAAUGGAUAUCU